UUACAUUCUGCAGUAACUCACGGUGAUGAUCAGCAGACGUUCAGGUGCUGGUCUAUGAAAACCCAAGGCUAAGCAAAAUGCCUGCCCAGGUCGGGCAGCCCGCUCAGGCACUAGCCAGAUCAGGCUGUCAGAAAAGAACCUGUGACAGAUCUGCAGGGAUUCCUCAGCUCAGCAGUGUCCAUGGGAACAAGCAAGUGCCCUGCCACAAACCUAAGCAGUCGCAGUGUACUCAAAUCGCAGGGCAGUGCGCAACAGGAGCCAGGAACUUUGCAAUAGGUGAAAUAAGUAACCGAGGACUCGUAAAGUAGGACACAAGCUUGUGGCCAGGGGCAGCAGGAUUUGUGUGGAAUCUGCUGUACUGGCUGCCCACUUGAGGUAAUGAAAGCUCUGUGCCAUGGCGUUUGCCUCGGAAAGGUGUUUCGAUAGGACUCAUGGAGCGUGGACACCACUGUCCCGCUUGUGAUACCCUGCUGGCUUUGGGACAGCAAAGAUCAUGGAUGCAAAAGUGCUAUUCAUUGAUCUGAAUAUGUUGCUACUUCAUCGGUAGCUUUGGCCAUGCCCUGGAUUCCCUGAGGCUCACCAGGUUUUUUUUGUUCCUCUUACUGCCCCCAGCUUCUUCUCUAAAGGCCAUCUUGUGGGGAGUGUUGAAGAGGAGCUUCGAUGCCAUUGUAUGUAGCAAUGCAAGUGGUCUUUUUACUUCAAAGCUUGAGAAUUUGGUGACAAAAUGGCGAUUAGGGGGACCUUGGCCUGAGCUGGAAUGGUAACCGAGGCAAUUUCGAGAAGGUUCCUUAGUAUGGCGGGGGGAUGGUUUCAGUGAUUUUGUUGUGAUCACUCAUUAUUGGGGCCUAUUUUAACGCUUACAGGCUGUAUCACGACACUAGGAGGUGUAUGACACCUAUCAAAAGGCCCUGUCAUGGGCAAGUGCUCCUGACAGGACCUCCAAGGCUGGAUUGCCGCGUGCAGGGGUGACAAGUGGACAUUUGCAGAGCAUGUGACAUC
rnacentral:lncRNA from 1 species